UACGCUUUCCCUCAACAGAAAAAACAACAGAAGGGCUUUGUCAAACCCCAGACACUACAGCUGCUGCUCCGAACAUUACACGAGCACCGACAACUAAAACAACUACAAGUUCGAACAUUACAACACCACCCGAACCGAACUCGUCAAAUAUACUAAGGCACAUUAAGGGUUGCAUAAUAUUGAUGGAUAUUGCACUGGUGAUGUGGCACUUUUAAAUUUAGGGUUUUUGCUUCCGAAGAAAAGGUGAAGAGAGUCAAAAUUAUUUUUAAAUAAUUAAAAUUUCUUAUUAAAAUGAAUACUUCAACAACAAAAAAUUUACUUUGGAAACGAGGUAUUUUAUGUAGACGUAUUAUAACCACCGUUCGAGAACUAUAGUAAAUUUUUGGGAGUCAAUUUUACUUCACCGAUAGAGUAGAAUCUACUCCACAAGUAGGAGUAGUUUUUGGAGGAGUAGAAAUGACUCCCAAAACAGAGUAAAAAUGACUCUUUCGGAAACUUGAAGAGUCAGAUCAGCUCCGAUUCCAGAGUUGUGUAAAUGGGAGUUGAAACAACUCCUUCUAGUGCAGAGUUAAAAUGACUAUUUGGAAAAAUGAAGAGUAAAAUAAGCUCCGAUUGAAGAGUUGUGUAAAUUGGAGUUGAAACUACUCCUUCUAGUGCAGAUCAUUCAGUACUGAAUGUUGGGAGUAAAACUAGUAUUGUAAGAUUCUUAGAUCUUAGACCAGCGGUUUUAGCCCACAUAAUUACAUUCUAAGCUCGUUCACGUUUUUAUUGUUUGAGAUCGGGAGGAUUAUACCAUGAGGUAUGGAAAGAAUUUGUUCUUUUUUCCCCUUUAAGGCUAUAUAGACAUCAUGCAGUAACAUGUUGUAAUGUUUCAUAGAACCUCGUAUAGGUCAACUGCAGAGAAUUAAUCGAGUAAUAAGAAGGUAUCGUGUAAAGAUUUCUAGCAACUAGACGGACAGAUUUUCUAAAGUCAUCCAAUAAAUGAUAUUUGUUGUGGUUCAU